rnacentral:rRNA from 1 species
AACGAACGCUGGCGGCAGGCCUAACACAUGCAAGUCGAACGCACCGCAAGGUGAGUGGCGCACGGGUGAGUAACACGUGGGAAUGUACCCUUUGGUUCGGAAUAACGUUUGGAAACGAACGCUAAUACCGGAUGAGCCCUGCGGGGGAAAGAUUUAUCGCCAAAGGAGCAGCCCGCGUCUGAUUAGCUAGGUGGUGGGGUAAAGGCCUACCAAGGCGACGAUCAGUAGCUGGUCUGAGAGGAUGAUCAGCCACACUGGGACUGAGACACGGCCCAGACUCCUACGGGAGGCAGCAGUGGGGGAAUAUUGGACAAUGGGCGCAAGCCUGAUCCAGCCAUGCCGCGUGAGUGAUGAAGGCCUCGGGUUGUAAAGCUCUUUCGCACGCGACGAUGAUGACGGUAGCGUGAGAAGAAGCCCCGGCUAACUUCGUGCCAGCAGCCGCGGUAAU